rnacentral:rRNA from 1 species
UUACACAUGCAGUCGAACGCUGAAGCCUGGUGCUUGCACCGGGUGGAUGAGUGGCGAACGGGUGAGUAACACGUGAGUAACCUGCCCCUGACUUCGGGAUAAGCCCGGGAAACUGGGUCUAAUACCGGAUACGACUGCCGGACGCAUGUCUGGUGGUGGAAAGUUUUUUCGGUUGGGGAUGGGCUCGCGGCCUAUCAGUUUGUUGGUGAGGUAAUGGCUCACCAAGACGACGACGGGUAGCCGGCCUGAGAGGGCGACCGGCCACACUGGGACUGAGACACGGCCCAGACUCCUACGGGAGGCAGCAGUGGGGAAUAUUGCACAAUGGGGGAAACCCUGAUGCAGCGACGCAGCGUGCGGGAUGACGGCCUUCGGGUUGUAAACCGCUUUCAGCAGGGAAGAAGCGCAAGUGACGGUACCUGCAGAAGAAGUACCGGCUAACUACGUGCCAGCAGCCGCGGUAAUACGUAGGGUACGAGCGUUGUCCGGAAUUAUUGGGCGUAAAGAGCUCGUAGGUGGUUGGUCACGUCUGCUGUGGAAACGCAACGCUUAACGUUGCGCGUGCAGUGGGUACGGGCUGACUAGAGUGCAGUAGGGGAGUCUGGAAUUCCUGGUGUAGCGGUGAAAUGCGCAGAUAUCAGGAGGAACACCGGUGGCGAAGGCGGGACUCUGGGCUGUAACUGACACUGAGGAGCGAAAGCAUGGGGAGCGAACAGGAUUAGAUACCCUGGUAGUCCAUGCCGUAAACGUUGGGCACUAGGUGUGGGGGGCAUUCCACGUUCUCCGCGCCGUAGCUAACGCAUUAAGUGCCCCGCCUGGGGAGUACGGUCGCAAGGCUAAAACUCAAAGGAAUUGACGGGGGCCCGCACAAGCGGCGGAGCAUGCGGAUUAAUUCGAUGCAACGCGAAGAACCUUACCAAGGCUUGACAUACACCGGACCGUCCUGGAAACAGGUCCUCUUCUUUGAAGCUGGUGUACAGGUGGUGCAUGGUUGUCGUCAGCUCGUGUCGUGAGAUGUUGGGUUAAGUCCCGCAACGAGCGCAACCCUCGUUCUAUGUUGCCAGCAUGUGAUGGUGGGAACUCAUAGGAGACUGCCGGGGUCAACUCGGAGGAAGGUGGGGAUGACGUCAAAUCAUCAUGCCCUUUAUGUCUUGGGCUUCACGCAUGCUACAAUGGCUGGUACAGAGAGAGGCGAACCCGUGAGGGCAAGCGAAUCCCUUAAAGCCAGUCUCAGUUCGGAUCGUAGUCUGCAAUUCGACUACGUGAAGUCGGAGUCGCUAGUAAUCGCAGAUCAGCAACGCUGCGGUGAAUACGUUCCCGGGCCUUGUACACACCGCCCGUCAAGUCACGAAAGUCGGUAACACCCGAAGCCGGUGGCCUAACCGUAAGGAGGGGGCCGUCUAAG